rnacentral:rRNA from 1 species
ACGGGAGGCAGCAGUGGGGAAUAUUGCACAAUGGGGGAAACCCUGAUGCAGCGACGCCGCGUGAGUGAAGAAGUAUUUCGGUAUGUAAAGCUCUAUCAGCAGGGAAGAAAAUGACGGUACCUGACUAAGAAGCCCCGGCUAACUACGUGCCAGCAGCCGCGGUAAUACGUAGGGGGCAAGCGUUAUCCGGAUUUACUGGGUGUAAAGGGAGCGUAGACGGUAAUGCAAGUCAGAAGUGAAAGCCCAGGGCUCAACCGUGGGACUGCUUUUGAAACUGUAAUACUAGAGUGCAGGAGGGGUAAGUGGAAUUCCUAGUGUAGCGGUGAAAUGCGUAGAUAUUAGGAGGAACACCAGUGGCGAAGGCGGCUUACUGGACUGUAACUGACGUUGAGGCUCGAAAGCGUGGGGAGCAAACAGGAUUAGAUACCCUGGUA